rnacentral:rRNA from 1 species
UACGUAGGGUGCAAGCGUUGUCCGGAAUUAUUGGGCGUAAAGAGCGUGUAGGCGGCCAGAUAGGUCGGUUGUGAAAACUGGAGGCUCAACCUCCAGACGUCGACCGAAACCAUCUGGCUAGAGUCCGGAAGAGGAGAGUGGAAUUCCUGGUGUAGCGGUGAAAUGCGCAGAUAUCAGGAGGAACACCAAUGGCGAAGGCAGCUCGCUGGAACGGUACUGACGCUGAGGCGCGAAAGCGUGGGGAGCAAACAGG